UACGAAGGGGGCAAGCGUUGUUCGGAAUUACUGGGCGUAAAGGGCGCGUAGGCGGCCUGUCAAGUCAGGCGUGAAAUUCCCGGGCUCAACCUGGGGGCUGCGCUUGAUACUGAUUGGCUUGAAUGCGGGAGAGGAUAGUGGAAUUCCCAGUGUAGAGGUGAAAUUCGUAGAUAUUGGGAAGAACACCGGUGGCGAAGGCGGCUAUCUGGCCCGUAAUUGACGCUGAGGCGCGAAAGCGUGGGGAGCAAACAGG
rnacentral:rRNA from 1 species